rnacentral:rRNA from 1 species
UACGUAGGUGGCGAGCGUUGUCCGGAAUUACUGGGUGUAAAGGGCGUGUAGGCGGGAGAGCAAGUCAGAUGUGAAAUACCGAAGCUUAACUUCGGGGCUGCAUCUGAAACUGUUUUUCUUGAGUGUCGGAGAGGAAAGUGGAAUUCCCAGUGUAGCGGUGAAAUGCGUAGAUAUUGGGAGGAACACCAGUGGCGAAGGCGACUUUCUGGACGAUAACUGACGCUGAGGCGCGAAAGCGUGGGAGCAAACAGG